UUUGUCUACUGUUUUUAUUUAUUUAUUUUCUUAAAUAAACUGACUAAAUAUAAAACCGUACUUGCCUUCUCCUUAGUCUUUGCAUUUUACUUCCUUUGUUCGUCUCUCGUACGCUCUCUCCGCUGCUACGCCUUCUCCAUCCCAUUUGUUGGUGCAAUUGGAGUUAGGGUUUAAAGAGAGGUUGAAUCAAAUUCUGAGAUAAAUUUCAGGCUAAUUAAAUUGAUGCUCAUUGGGAGCUGAAGGCAAAUUUCUUGGACAGAAUGGGGUUUGAUAACGAGUGCAUACUGAAUAUCCAAUCUCUGGCCGGCGAGUUCUUCUGUCCUGUUUGUCGUCUACUUGUCUACCCAAAUGAAGCAUUACAGUCACAAUGCACCCAUCUUUACUGCAAACCAUGUUUAACCUACGUUGUCGGUACUACCCGAGCUUGUCCUUAUGAUGGUUACUUGGUAACAGAAGCGGAUUCUAAGCCGCUUGUUGAGUCGAAUAAGGCACUUGCCGACACCAUUGGGAAAAUCACAGUUCAUUGUCUAUACCAUAGGAGUGGCUGCACGUGGCAGGGUCCACUUUCUGAAUGUACAGCUCAUUGUUCUGGGUGUGCAUUUGGCAAUUCUCCUGUUGUAUGUAAUAGGUGUGGCAUUCAGAUUGUGCAUCGUCAAGUUCAAGAACAUGCACAAAAUUGCCCUAGUGUGCAGCCUCAAGCACAGCAAGCUGCUGGUGGUCAGGAAACUGCAGUCUCAGGCACCACAGCUACUGCUGGUCAGACCCAGGUUGCUUCUCAGGCAGAAACAGCUAUUUCUCAGACCCUCGCAUCUCAAACUACAACAUCCAGUACACCUGUACAAGACCCGAAUCAGCAUGCCAACCCAAAUUCCCAGUCUCAAGCUGUCUCCCAGGCUGCUGUGGUGAUGUCAGAGCAGUGGUAUCAACAACAGCAGCAACAGUAUCAGCAAUACUACCAGCAAUAUUCUGGAUAUGACCCAUAUUAUCAGCAAUACUACCCUUUUCAACAGCAGGCAGUUCCACAAUACCAGCAGCAGCCUUUGCAAGUUAAUGCAUCACACAUGGCUGGCCAGCAUUCAGUGUACAUGCAGACACAGCCCCAACCUCAACCGCAGGUGCAGCCCCAACCACAGCUUCAGUCUCAAGUACAGCCUCAACCACAGGCCCAGCCUCAGUCACACUUAUCUGUUCAGGCUCCGGUGGCUUCUCAACCUCAGAACCAAGCACAAGUCAACCAACAGCAGCAAAUUCACCUUAUGAUACCACCUCAGUCUCAAAUUCCAUCACAAACUUAUCCAACCGCCCAGGGCCAUUCCCAGCCUCAGGUUCAGCCAUUUCCUCAAGCUCAGCCUCAUCCACAGGUCCAAACUAUUCAGCCUCAUCUGCAACAUGGGCAAAUGCCUCAGUAUCAGCAGCAUCAUUCCCAGAUGCAACAACCACAGCCCCAGCUUCAUCCUGCUCCUCAAGCUCAGCCUGAGGCACAGCUUCAGCCUCAGUCUCAGCCUCAGCCUCUGCCCCAGCCCCAGCUGCAGCCACAUCCUCUGCAAAGCCAGCCCUUGAAUCCAAAUUUGAUACCUCAGAUGCAGCACCCUGCAGCCCAUGCCGUGACUGGUCAUCAGUCUUAUCCACAAUCGCAGACUCACCAGCAAAUACAGCUGGUAACACCACAAAAUCCCUUGCAUAUGCAUGCUCAAGGUGGCCUUCAUCCACAGCAGCACCCUGCUGAAAUGCAGAAUUCAUACCCUCAGCAACCUCCCUUGAUGCGCCCACCCCAAUCUCAUGCUACAAUUCCAAACCAACAGCAGCCUGGUUUGUUGCCUUUACCUGGUCCUAUGCUGCAACAAGUUCAUCCAAAUUCUCUUCGACCUACACUUUCAGUUCAACAACGUCCAACUAUGCAGCCUCCUGCAUCACCCAUGUCUCAGCAGUAUGUGCAGCAGCAACCUCUGUCAACUCAACCGGUGGGCUUGGUUCAGCCUCAAAUGCAUCAGCAAGGUCCUUUUGUGCAGCAACAACAGUCGUCACAGUCUCAGUUGUGGCCCCCAGGCCCCCCUCAUUCCUUUCAGCAACCUCCUCAUGCCUAUCCACAACCACAGCAAAAUGUUGCAGGGUCUCAUAUUGUGCAUCCCCAUUCAUCUCAUAAUCUUGUUGGGAGACCUAUGACACCGAAUCAUGUUGUACAACCACAGCCAUAUCCACAGUCUGCAGCUGGUAUGCUGGUUAAGCCUAUGCAACUUGGUGCAAACCUGCCAUCUUCUUAUCAGAGUAAUGUGUUCAGGACCAACAACCAAUCUGGGGUAAAUUCACAACCAAUGUGUGAGGUGCCAGGAGAUCAUGGUACUGACAAAAAUGUGGCUGAGCAAGAAGCGGAUUCAUCCUCCCAGGGAAUUGCUAAGAAGAAAGGUAAUGAGUUGGAUGUGGCAUCUAGUCUUGGAGCUGAUGUGGAUGAAACUAAUGCCUCAAAAUCCAAUGCUGAUUUGAAAUCUGUAGAUGAAAAACCUCCUGGUGAUGUUGGAGAUAAUAGUAGUGGAUAUGAUAAGGAAACACCAGAAUCUAGAACGACAGACCUUGAACCACAUAGAGAUCCUGUUUCUAAGAAUACGGUCAAGGGUGAGGCUACUGAAGACCUGAAAUAUGUUGACAAUGGUGAGCGCAAGGUAGAGGAAAAUAAAAUUAAGGAUGGCCCUUUGCUGAAAACUCCCCCACUGCAGGAGGCUAAGCUUGGUGAAGAACAGAAUGGAAAGAUGCAGAAAGAAAAAAUUCUACCUCAAGAUCAGGUUACUUCUAAAGGUCCUGCAGGCAAUGGAUUUAGAGGCAUCCCUCCAUCCAGUCAGGUUCAGCCUGGAGGCUUUCUGCAGCCUUCUCAUUCCGUUCCAAUUAUUGAUCAGGGAAGGCACCAACCCCUACAGAUGCCUUAUGGGUCUAAUAAUAACCAACAAAGACCUGCUGCUUCUGCAAUGUUACAAACACCUCCACCAGGGCUGCCUUCACAUGCACAAACAACAGGACUUCCUCCCAAUCAAUUUAGGCCUCAGGGCCCAGGACGGACUUUAGUUCCACCUGAAAAUUUAGUUCCUGGUUCCUUUGGUAGAGGACCAAGUAAUUAUGGUCCUCAAGGGCCUUAUAUUCAAGGUCCUGUUUCUGCUGCUCCUAGGAUAUCUCUAGGUGAAACUCUUGUACGCCCACCAUUUGGUACACCACCUCUUAAUGCUUUUGACUUGCACGGUGCACUGCCAUAUGGCCCUGAAGGUCAUUCGGUUCAGCAGCGAUCUGCAAACAUGGACUAUCAUGCUGAUAAUAGACAGCUAGAUCCUAGGGCCUCAGGUGUUGAUUCCACAUCAACAUUCAGCUUGCAUGGUGAAAGGUUAAAGCCUGCACAAGAUGAGCAUUUGAAUCCAUUUCCUUUGGAUCAUGCUCAUCGUGUUGGUGAUCGAGGACAAUUUGAUGAAGAUCUUAAACAAUUUCCUAGGCCUUCUCAUUUGGAUGCUGAGCCUGUUCCGAAAUUUGGAAGCUACUUUUCCUCAUCCAGACCCCUUGUUAGAGGUCCUCAUGAUUUUGGCACGGAUAUGGGACCAAGGGCUCAUGAGAAGGAACCUCAUGGUUUGAAUUUUGAUCCUAUGAUUGGCUCUGGUCCUUCUCAAUUCUUGCCACCAUAUCAUGAUGCAGGAGAAAGGCCAGUUGGUCUUCCUGAAGAUACUCUAGGCAGGACAAAUUUUCGUGGAACGGUUCCUAGCUAUGGUCGGCAUCGUAUGGAUGGUUUUGUUUCUAGAAGUCCAGGCAGAGAAUAUCCAGGCAUAUCCCCACGUGGAUUUAGAGGGCAUCCUGGUGACGAGAUAGAUGCCAGGGAACGCCGAUUCAAUGAUAGGUUUUCUGGUUUGCCUGGACAUCUACAUAGAGGUGGAGUUGAGAGUUCUGAUCACAUGGUGGAGCAUUUGAGGAGUCGUGAUAUGAUUGGUCCAGAUAUUCGGCCUCCGCACUUUAGAAUGGGUGAACAUUUGGGUCAUCCUAACAUGCCUGGUCAUUUGCUGAUGGGAGAACCCAUUGGCUUUGGUGAUUUUUCUAGCCAUGAACGAAUGGGAGAAUUUGGUGGGCCUGGAAACUUCCGUCACCCACGACUUGGUGAGCCAGGAUUUAGAAGCAGCUUUUCACUUCGAGAAUUUCCUAAUGAUGGUGGAAUCUAUACAGGUGAUAUGGAUUCAUUUGAAAAUUUGAGAAAGAGAAAACCGGUGAGCAUGGGUUGGUGCCGCAUUUGUAAAGUGGACUGCGAAACUGUUGAAGGCUUGGACCUGCACUCACAAACAAGGGAGCACCAGAAGAUGGCUAUGGAUAUGGUUGUUACCAUCAAACAAAAUGCAAAGAAACAGAAGUUAACCUCCGGUGAUCACUCCAUACACAAUGAUUCAAGCAAAUCAAAGAACACAAAAUUUGAAGGCCGUGUGAAUAAGCAUUGAGUCUUGAUAUGCGCUGUCAUAUGGAUUGUGGUUGUUCACUUGCUGGCUUGGGAUUGAAUUUGUUGGUUUGGUAUUUGGAACUUAGUGAUGUAGGUCACUCACCCUUGAUGCCUCUUUUCUACUUCUGGGUGGUUUAUGCUGAUCCUGUCAUUCAGGUUGCUGCCAUGUUAAUGGAGAUGGUUUUUGGAACUGGAGUUCAGUGGCAAUUUUUUCAAUUCGACCUCUCUUUUUUCGGCGAAGCAGACAACAUAAUGGCUGAAAGUACAGUGGGAAGGUUUUGACACUCAUCUUUUUUAGAUGUGGUAAGAUUGUGUUCACAGUAGCGGUAAACUUUUGCUUUGUAAUAUUGCUUUUGUUUUUCUUUGAAAUUGGCUAACUGCGGGGUAUUAUAUAUGUUGCUUUAUUGCCACACUGUUUUUGUUUUAUAUUUUCUUUUAAGUUAAAUGCUCAGUUGUGGGAAAUUUGUGGUAGUCUGAGAGAUCUUAGAAUUGAGAGGCUGAUAAAAGUGUUACUUAGAGUGUAAGUUAUUUCUUAAAAUGUAUGCUAGAAAUACUUUAUUUUCUUUUUUUAAUAAGUGAAACGUAAGUUAGAAUUGUUUGCCAACUGCAGGGUAUCAGUUUAGGGCAGUUCUGAAACAAGGCCCUUUUGUUGAAUACUUGGAUUGAGCUAGGUUGUUGACUACCUCUCCUUUUUAGUUUAGCAAUGCCUCAUCCCCUUGUUAAAGGGAUUUAAAGCUUAGGCCAAGAGUCCUAGUAGGCUUGCAUGUUAGGAUGUACUUGCUUCAGGCAAGGGUUGUCCUGGACUCCUGGCGCUUGUUCUAUAUGUUAGGAUGGACAAGGAAGGCCUACUAUCUUUCAUGUCAAAUAAGACUUCUGUUUAGAAUGUUAUAUUCUGCUAGGAUCCAUCUUUCAUAGUUGUGCAUGUCGAACCUAAAUGACAUUCCUUAGAAAAGACAGUGUUAGUCUUGUUACUUUAACAUUUCUUUCUUGGUCCUUUGGUGUUUCAAUAAUAGGAUCGGACAAGUUAUGCCUAUAUUGGUGGCUGCAUUGCCUUCCUUUCUGUCCUGAUAUUAUGCGUGUGGAUCAGUCUGCUUUUCCUUAAGACUCAUGCUGUUAUAUUUGAUGUAUGAUUGUAGAGGUGUUAAUCUAACAUUCUCGUUGACCUUUAUUAAUUUAUCGACUAUGUUUCAUAUUUUAAACAUUGUUUGUUUCUAUGUUCAGUUGCUCUGUCAUGCCUGAGAUAUUCCAAGUAAAUGCACAAUUGGGCUAAUAAUAUGUUUAUUUUCCUACAAUUCUAAAUGACUUCCAUUCAUUUGUGAUCUUCAAUUUUUUAAGGUGCAAAAACUUCAUUUGUAUCUGCUCUAUAAAAUGAGAUAUAAUAAAGUAUUAAGUAUAAAGUAAUUAAUGAUAGACAUAAAUCUGAGACAUACAAAUAACUAUCAUUUAGAAGAUGACCAAUGUUGAAUUGUUUUUCUAGGCAUUAUUUUAUGAGCCUUUGACUUCCAAGUUAACAUAAAGUUAGAUCUCUAUAGUUCAAGAAUAUAGUUCUUAGUUUUUGAACCUUUAUAACACUUAAGUUAAUCAUACUAUAGGAUGUUUGUUGCCUGUCUAAAUCAUUCAAAGUGAAAUUUCAAAUUUAAAACUUUGGUGCUUUAAUACUCAUAAUACUAGUUCUAUGAUCAAGAGGUUACAUAAAUGAUAAUUGGCAGGAGGCUAAUUAAGCAAUUCUUUCUGUUUCCCUACUAUUUUUUGACUUUGGUUGAAUUUUCAUCAUGAAUACUUUGGGAAAUGCUUAAUGGUUAAUGCCUCAUAAGACUUCCAUAUUUGCAAAAUUUCUACUUCUUUGAAGCUGGGCAGCCUCUUUUCAAUGUUGGAUGGCAAUUCUGAACUGCAUAUCCCGUAUCUUUCAUUGUGUUUCUGACCAGGUUUGUGAUUUUAUUCUUGAUCAUUAUGUGGUUGAAUCUGCAACCUCAUAUGGUAGUUCUUUUUGCUUGUUCUCCUUUUUGAUUUUAAGAUCUUAAGUCUUUCACCUCUCUCUUUCUUAUUAUGUCAAUGUUGCUUUUUCUUGGAGUGAGUCGAACGAAGGUCAAAUUUGGAAGCGAUAUUAGGUAGUGUACUAUACUAGACAAAGAUCUUUCACCAGUGUUGGUUUUGAAUUUACCAAUUGGGUUCUAGUUAAAGCAAUGGCUAGUGGCUGUCUUUUAUAUAAUCAAGCAGGGUGCAGUCUUAAUCGGUGGUUCAAUGUACAAUAGGUUUGGGGCUUAGAAUUAAUGAGUUAUGAAGUAAUGGUUUCUUCUUUUUUUUUUUUUAUGGUUAUAGAGAGAGGCUUUUAGGGUUAACAAUUGAUUUGAUUGGAGUUUAAGAUAAAAAAAAUUCAAAAAUGUUGGUUCGACUUGAUGAUUCUAGUUGCAUGCUACUACUGGAAACAGUGAGCAUUGAGAUAAUGAUACAAAUGUAGGGUCAAAUUGGUGGGAACUGAUUGGAAAAUGAAAAGCUAUUUAGGGUUUUAAUACUACUAUGAGAAAGAGUGUUGUGUGGCUGCAUUUGGCAAGACUAGAGCAUCAUGGGUACUGUUGUCUUGUGAACAGUGGCAACAGAACCUUGAGAAAGGAUAACAAAUAACGUGGCGAGGUGAAUCAACAAUGAUAAAGUUCUUGAACAUUUCGUUCAGUAAAAUAUCUAUUAAAACCAUUUCUUCUAAGUCCAAAGACAGGCAGACACUUUUUUUUUUUAUAUCAUAAUUGGACUUGGAAUUCUAAAUGUUUUUAGAUUUAGAGAUAAUCCCAUCUUACAUAAAUUUAGGACCACAUCAUAAGCCCUAAUUGAGUAGCUAGACUCAUCCAAUGAGCCACAAAAACAAGGCUCUUCCUAGCUAAACAUAAAAUUACUAAAAACGACCCGCACAACAAAACUCGAAUAAAUACUUCCACAUGUGGUGCAUGUGUAAAUUAGUGUCGAUUGGGUAAAUAGAUUAAACCUUUAUGUUAAAGUAUAUACUUGGUCAGUGCAAGAGAGAAUUGUUGGGUAGCUACAGGGAUAAAAAAAAAAAAAAGAAAUAAAUCAUGGAGAAUAUUAUUCAUGGAUUCAGCCCAUGUUUUCUCCCUUGUAUUUUCUCUGCUCCUAUUUUAUGCUUACCGUUUAUUAUUGGGCCUCAUGGCUUAAUGACUUGUCUAGUGUGCGGUGGAAUCCCCCUUUUCAUGACAGUAUAUUUGAUUAAUUUGGCUAAAACUUGAAAUGGGGCAAGCAGACCUUUUUCCCAGCAACUUAUUGGUCUUUUUUUUUUUUUUUUUU